GCUGAAUAAGGCGCUAAGGCUGAAUAAGGCGCUAAGGCUGAAUAAGGCAUUAUUAUGCUGAAUAAGGCAUUAUUAUGCUGAAUAAGGCAUUAUAAGGCUGAAUAAGGCACUAUAAGGCUGAAUAAGGCAUUAUUAGGCUUUAUUAAAAAAGCAGAGAAUAGCAACCACUGUGGUGAGACAAAAGGCGUUCAAAUCCCUUGAGAUACUGUUGUCUUUCUAUAGUCCAGAUACUGGAGAAUACAUCCAACAACAACAACGACAAAGACAACAACACAGUAAAAUCCCAAUCAGAAACCGUCCUGAUCAAAAGAAUAACAUAAAAACACAUGACUGAAGCAGAUGAUGCUCAGUGGUCAAAACAGAACAGGUCUAUAGAGGCCCAGUCCAGGAGGAGCGCUUCUCAUAAACAAUCUCCAAUCAGAAACCCAUUAUGGGUCAAUUAUUACCUCACAGAGAGAGAGAGAGGUCAUCAGAACACUUAUUAAGAACAUGUACGUGUUCCGCUGAUACAAAAACAAUCCAUGGCCCGGGUCCAUAGAACAGGUCUCCCCAUUAUGACGGCAUGAUGGGUGGACUGGCGGCCAAUGUGAGAGGACCCACGAGUCAAAUGACCAGGGUUAAAGGUUCCGAGACUGUUCUAGUCAUUCUAUUUCUGUUUCCACCUCUCUGAUCCCUCCCAACAUGCCUCAGGAUUCCACUACUAAACAUAGAACUAGAACGGCUGCCUGUCUGCCCAUUAUGACGCCGUUGACAUGAAUAGGGAGGCCCGUUCUACUCCUUCUACAUUCCUCUGUUUACAAAUGUACAUGAGAUAUAUAUCGUCAUGGUAACAAAAUGCAUAGUCUGUCUUCAAUACAGUAGGAUGUUGGGUUUAAAGUCCCCCCCCAAUGGGAUUUCUGGAAGCAUAUUCAUAAAGAAUGUCAGUGUAAGAGUGCUGAUUUAGGAUCAGUUUGUCCGUUUAGAUUAUAAUGAAUAAGAGAGGGCACCUGAUCCUAGACCAGCAGCCCUAUUCUGAGACCUGCUUUAUGUACACAGUCCCUGGUGCUUCAGACAGCAAAGUGCUUGGUCACCAUCCAACUCCAAGUCAUUAUUACUGUUGUCUGAUUGACAGCUGUCUGAUGGAAAAACAAGAUAAGACUGAAAAGUUAUGAACAAUCAACUGUUUAAACAACGAGCAGUAAAACACACCACUUCACUGGUCUGAGAUCCGGAGUCUGUUGACGUUAUUAUUAUGCUUUUUAAAAUCCACAAUAAACCUUAAUAUUGGGAAGAAUAUUGAAAAGGAAAACAAAAAAAACAGGACACAGUUUGUAUAUCCUUCAGCCUCCAAGAUGCAGGAAGAGGAAUGUUGAACACCAAAGAGGAGGUAGAACCAUUCUCCUUAGCAACCAAGGGGGGGAAAAAUGUACAAAUUCUACUCACAAAAUAGAUAGCCUGGUCCCAGAUCUGUUUGUGCUACCAUGCCAACUACAUCGCUGUCGUGGACGAGACAAAUGUGACAUUGAGUUCGUGACAAGGAGUUGAUGACAGCACAAAAACAGACUGGAACUCAGGCUACAAAGCGGAGCGACACAACAGCCUUAAAACAGAGGCUCUCUGUUAGAGCUGCAACACACAGAGCCAUCUGCAAUCAGCAACUUCACAACAACGUCGCGCUCGUCUCUUCCCCCACCAGGCCCUCUGGGAGGGACUAGGGGUUAGAGGUCAAGGGUUAGAGGGCGUAAGGAUCCGGUGACGGAGAGAUCCAGUGUCGUCCCACGAGGUGCCCCAUGAGGCCCUAGGAACCCCAAAACGAUCCGACUCCAUCCCUGUGACACCAUGCAGGACAUGAGAGCUGGAAAGGCGUUCUAUGGUCAGAAGGCACCGUAUCAUGACAUCAUCAUUCUGGAACCAUACAGAGGGAGGCUAUUGGCUGUUUCUCCUGUUCUCUCCUCUGUCUAUCCAUUCAUCAAUAUCUCUAGUCUCUAUUCUCCACUUCUCUCCUCUGUCUAUCGCCCCCUUCUGUGUCUUUGCUCCAUCUCUCGUCUUCUCCCCAAUUUCCGUGUCUCUGGACUGGUGGGGUCAGUACCUCAGUACCAGGUCAGGGCUGAACACCACGGAGUGUCUGGGUAUAAGACACAAUGGACAGACCUGAACCUGAGAGAGAGAGAGAGAGAGAGAGAGA
ensembl:lncRNA